rnacentral:tRNA from 1 species
GACCUCGUAGCUUAGCUGGUAGAGCAUGCGCGUUCAAAGCGCAUAUGGUGACCGUACGUGGGUUCGAAUCCCGCCAAAGCUG